CGAUUCCCUACGGGGUGCAGCAGGCGCGCAAACUUUACAAUGCGAGCAAUCGUGAUAAGGAAACCCUGAGUGCCUGUCGAUGCAGGCUGUUCAUAUAUCUAAAUCAUAUGUGAAGAAAGGGCAGGGCAAGACCGGUGCCAGCCGCCGCGGUAAUACCGGCUGCUCGAGUGAUGGCCACUAUUACUGGGUUUAAAGCGUCCGUAGCUUGACUGUUAGGUCUCUUGGGAAAUCUUCACGCUCAACGUGAAGGCGUCUAAGAGAUACCGGCAGUCUUGGAACUGGGAGAGGUAAACCGUACUCCGGGGGUAGGAGUGAAAUCUUGUAAUCCUCGAGGGACGACCUAUGGCGAAGGCAGUUUACCAGAGCAGCUUCGACAGUGAGGGACGAAAGCUGGGGGAGCAAACGGGAUUAGAUACCCCGGUAGUCCCAGCCGUAAACAAUGUGCGUUAGGUGUGUCGGUAACCACGUGUUACUGAUGCGCCGAAGAGAAAUCGUGAAACGCACCACCUGGGAAGUACGGUCGCAAGGCUGAAACUUAAAGGAAUUGGCGGGGGAGCACCACAACAGGUGGAGCCUGCGGUUUAAUUGGAUUCAACGCCGGACAUCUCACCGGAUAAGACAGCUGAAUGAUUGUCAAUCUGAAGGUUUUACAUGACUAGCUGAGAGGAA
rnacentral:rRNA from 1 species